GAAAGAUACUGAAGUAUUCUCAAAGAAGCAUCAUCUGGAUAGUAAAUUAAUUUCAAAUUAAAAUGAAAUUCAUCAAUUAAGGGAAAAAAUUGAUGAAGUUACAACUCCGUGAAGAAGCAAAGUGAAAAAUAAUAUCAGGAGGUAAUAAACUGCUUAACUUUUUUUCUUUCUGUUAACUUAAACUUUACUUGUUUAGGAGAAUUGGGACAGAGUAGAAGUAGAGGAAGAUAGAAGUCCUAGGACCUGGGUUUGACCUCAACUUUGUCUCUAAUAUAGCCUAGAGUAGUGCACAGUGAUAUAUCUUUUCUCAAGUUCUUGGUUUUCUCAUUAAUAAAAUGGGGUUGAGAUUCGCUCUGUGUACUUUACAAGAAUAUGGUCAAUGAUACUCCUUUUCUGUCUUUAAGAUACAAUAAGGAUGUAGCUCAGAGGUAAAAGGUUUAUCCAGCAUGUGCAAGACCCUGGGCUCAGUGCCCAGCGCAACAUAGCAAUAACAAUCACAACAGCAACAGUGACAGUGCUAAAGACAACACGAUAAAUUUCCACUUCUGCUGUUUCCCUGCAGAGCCUUGUUCUCUGUCUCUCUGUUCUGUCAGUGCUCCUACAAGCCCUCUCACAUAGCAUGGGAUUUGUCUUGGGUCUGAAUUCUUUGAAGUACAAAUGUCAUCAGUUGUUUUUUGACUAAAUCUAGCUGUGAAUAAAUAGUGCAGGUGGAGUCACGGCAGAUGAAGAAGGGGCUAGUAUCUGCCAUUUAGGUCUGUGAUGUAUUGUCAACCGACUGAAAACAGAAGUUAUGUAGACCCGGGAACUCAGUGUCCUCAUUCAGAUUGUGGAAAAUCUUCUUGCCUUAUGAAUAGGUGAGUAUUUUUGUUACUGUUAUUUCACCAUUGCUUUGGUGAUUGUUGUUCGAUGCCUGCUAUUCUGGAGCCUUGCAUUCAUUCCAUUUAGACACUAAUAGGUCUAUUUAAGUGGCUUUUAAUAUUUCAGCUUUAGAGAGAAAACAGAUUUAGAAAUGCGAUUGUCUUGUCCAAAGUAGAUAACUGAGCUUCAUACGUUAAGGUCCCCCUGAUUCUAAAGCUUAUGCUAUCCAUUGAGUAAAUAGUUAAAAGAAAGACCACAAAGUAUUAUAGGCUCAAUAUAAUUAGACACUGGACUACAGGAACAGAAAGAUGAAGGUUUAGAAAGUUAUUUCAUCUUAGUAUAAUUUGCCAGAUAAAGUAAAUGUUGCUAUUAUUACUUACAAAUGAUAUGCUGUUUUUUGAUCACCAUAGCCAUAAUGAUACAAUAUUUAGCAAAGAAAAAUCUACAUAACGUUUGAGUCAUGUUCCAAGUAAUUUGUUAUCAUGGUAUGACUCUACAAAGGCAAGAAGCAAUUCUUUUCUUUUAAUCAUCACUUUUGAUUAUUGUAUCUUGAUGGCCUCAUAUCCCUAGCCAUUAUACCCAGAUAUUUCUUCUUGUUAAUGGUACUUCAUGAGAAGAGCAUCCCUUGUUAAACUAGUAGUGUAUGACUCUCUUUACUUGGAUAAGUUAAAAUUCUGAAGCAUGUAGAUUGAACCUCAUUUAAGGACCUAGAGACAAUGCUUGCAAAAGUACAAAGUUCAUACCAAAGCUGUCUCCUAAUGUCACCUUCAGAUGCAGUACACUGUGUGGGACAUUUCUGGCUGGAGACAGUUUUGAGCACAGCAUACUUCUCUAAUGGCCUUUUAGAAUUAAAGCAGACUAUAAUAACUCACUUCCCCUCAAGUAACUUAUAUUCAGACUUCCCACCAGAAACCUCAGCACGAAGGUCAGCAUCCUUCCCUUUGCCCUUCCUCCACAUGUCCUGUGUGGUCUCUCCCGAGGCCACUUGGGGUGGGAAAAUUCAAUUCCUUCCUUUGUGCUUUUUUUUUUUUUUCUGUCAUUAUCAAAUGUGGAAAAGCAAGUGAAAUGCUGAAGGCCUAAGUAUGUCAGUCUGUAAUUUUGGAAACAUUUGAUUUUGGGUUCAGUGUUGCACAAUAGAUGAAAUGUCUAGAUGUGACUGUCCCCAAAGAACAGCCUCACAGAUCUAUCAAAUUGUACUGUGGCAAAGAGUGAGACUGAUAGGACCCAAGUGGUCAGUUUGAGUCCACCAGGUACCAGCUUUGUAUUUUCCAUUCUGCGAUCCAAGACAAACUAUUUUCUCUAGUUUUCAGAUAUUAAAGUGCAUAAUUGUCAGAUUAGAAAACUUUUCAUAAGAUUGUGAGCUGUCACUGAAGUCAUAAGGUUCAGCUUUACACAGAGCAAACAUAUAGCUCAUGGCUAUGCUAAAGAAUAAGUCUAUAUGGUGGCAACUUUAAUUUUUAUUUCUAUUUUUUUCAAUAAUGCAUUUUACUUUUCUGAUCUUUCUGUCCAUCUUAAUAUUUUGAAAUGUAACCUUGGUAACACCCAUAGUGGAAAAGAGCCAGGGUAAUGACAUCAAGUUGGCCACAGUAUUCCCUCUUUGUGGUUCAUAUUAACUCUUGAAAAGUUUUUCUCCAUAGAGAGCAUUAAAACUGUCACUGACAAAAUUCCAAGCUGUUUAUCUAAAAAAAAAACAGUAAAAACAGACGUAUUGACACAAAAAGUUCUGUCAAUACUUCCUAGUGCUAGAAGAUUACUAAUGCAUAUUUAAAUUUAACAUAGUUGCGGUAAGUCUUAUAGUUAAGAAAUAUGCUUAAAUUAGCAAUCUUCUUUGUAACUUUUUGUUUUGUUUUGAGUAACGUCUACAGACGUCUACAGAGAUAUUUUGGAAUUAGUGUGCCAUGAAAGAUUCUGCAAUGUAUUACAUUAGAAUUUUGUUUAGAAAUACCUGGAAGUAUAGGAGAGCAGUGAUGUCCAUUUCUAAUGCUAGUUGGGAUGAGGAAAAUGUAGCAUCCCGUCCUGAAAAUGGUCAACCAUUCUCAGUAGACUUAACUUUUUAUUCUUUUGUGAACUAAACAGACAGAAGCCUUGACUUUUGUUUCAUCUUUGACACAUGUAAACAUUGGGGAACUGGGGAAAAUCAUUGAUUCCUUUAGACUGAGUUGUCCUAAAUGCUAAAUUAAAUAUGGUGACAAUUGAAAAAAUAUGCUUAAAAUAUUAGCUUGUAAAUCUCAUCAAACGGGGCUGGGGAUUUAGCUCAGCGGCAUAAACGCCUGCCUUGCAAGCUCAUGGUCGGGAAUUCGAUCCCCGGUACCGAUAAAGGAAAAAAAAAAUGUAUGUAAAUCUCAUCAAACAAUGAAAGAAUUAUGCUGAAAAGAAUUCCUAUAUUUAUACUGUAAUGAUGCUGAUCAUCAUGUUCCUAUUUAUCCCUUGAAGACUAUUCUAACAUGAAAGGCAAUGAAUUAAUCUAUUAACCUUCCUCAGUUGCUGUGGUCAAUAUGUGGUUUGUUGUCAUCAAAACUCUUGAGAUUUGGUUGUGCAUGUGGUGGAACUGAGAGGCUGUGGCAUCUUUAAAGGUGGUGCAGUCACGGGGACUCCACCUGCAUCAUGCAGUUAUCUCAUUCAGUCAGCAGCCAAUGAGCUACCCUGAGCAGAGGCCGUGCUAAAGCAAGUCUGGCACCAUCCUUGGGCUCCCAAACACAAGGGCUAUAUGUAUGUGCUCACUUUUCUUCUAGCUUCUGCUGUACGUUGAUCAGUCCAAGGCCAUCACCAAAAUCCACGCAAUGCUAGUACCAUGCAUGUUCUCAGACUUUGAGAACUGUGCACCAAAAUGGAUGCAUUGUCUUUAUAUGUCUUUAUCCUCAAGUAUUCACUGUAUCAACAAAAGUCAAAUUGUUACACUAGGGAUCUCAAAAUCCAUCUUUACAGCAUUACCAAACACACAUGCUUCUCACCCCUUUAUUAAACAAAUUGGCUAUUGUGGUUUUGCAGAUUUGUCCAAAAAUAUUCAUUUACUUUAGGAGUAUACUGAGCUGCAAGAAACCAAAGGCAGGCCUUCCUUUGGGAUUUUCUGGAUGUAAAAUCAUUCCAGAUUAGCUGGAAAUUUUCACAGCUGGGUCUAGUGACACACCUGCCACACUGCAUUUGCAAACUAACUGGACCCUGACAAGCAUGGAAACAUGCAGGGACAUUGGUGGCAGUGAAUUUAUUUUCCUCUAGCUAUGUAACAACCCCUCUCUAGAUGCUCUAGAUAAUUAUAUAAUCUAUAUAAUAUUUCUUUGAAGAAAAGUAUUAAUCAAGCAUAACAGAGUUAUCUCUGAAAUGUUUCUUUUCCCCAGCAACUUUUGAUAAUAUGUAUAUUAAAUAUGUAUUAUUAAACAUUAUAUAUAUAUAUAUAUAUAUAUAUUUUUUUUUUUAAUAAUUCAAGUGUCUUUUUCCUCUUUCCUUCCCUAGGAUGCACCCAUUUCUUAUUUUGCAUUCUGACUGUUGGGAACAUUAUACUUUAUACAUUUACUCAACUUAGGGUUUUUAUUAAGAAAAGUCCAAGCAGGAGAAUUUGUUGCAUAAAUGAAAUAAAUAUGUCCAAAGACCCCAUUGCUCUGGAAGGGUCACUGAAGGCCACAGCUGUGAGUUCAUUCAUGCUUUAGUAAUUGAAGGGAGGACAGCAGACUCCCUUCACUGGUUUUGUUUUGUUGUUUUGUUUUAUGCUGUAGUUCACAGGUUUCACUGAUUUUUCACGACUCAUGUGCAUGACAGUUAUAGUAUGGCUCAUUAAAUCCAGGACACCACAGGUGUGGUGGAUGGCACAACUCUGAGUGCCAAGAGCUCUAGCUGGCCUGUCCUGCUGAUUUGGUGGGUGGCCUCAGACACAUUGCUGCAAUUCAUUCUGCUUCUCUUUUUUUAUUAUUUACUUUUAAUAUAGAAUAAAAUGAAAAUAAUCUGGUAAUUGGGAAACAAGUUAUUGUGUAUAGUCUAUCUGGAGUAAAACACUGUCAUUAAAUUAUGAUGAUAACAAUUAUAUAAGUACUUAAGCUAAAUUUUUGUAAGAUACAAAAUUAAACAUAGAAAAUAGUUAUAAAUUACAGGAAAGAAGUGGAGCAAAAGACAAAUUUGCUAAGUGUUUCCCAGGGAUUGAUAAAGCACUCUUUAUGUAUUUUUCCUGUUUCCUAUAAUAUCUUCAUUCAGUUAGAAAGUAUGCAUUGAACAUUCACUAUGUGCCAUCCACUACUCUGAGAAUGGGAGGAAAAAGUCAAUAAAACACGAAUCCCUAAUGGGGCGUGGUGAUGCAUGCUUAUAAUCCCAGCUCUCUUAAGAGAGAGGCUAAGGCAGGAAGAUCACAAAUUUUAGCUAAGCUGAGCAACUCAGAGACUUAGAUGCUGUGUCAAAAUUUUAAAAAAACAUGGAGCUCACUGGGAGGGAAUUGGGUUCAAUCCCAGUCCCAAAACAACAAAAAUCACACAUGAAUCAUAUUCUCCUGGAAUUUACAUUUUAGUGGAUGCAGAAAAUUAAAGUGAUGAAACACCCUAUCAGAUGAUUAGCUCUCAGCAAAAUUUUAAGCUAAAAAAGACUGUUAAAGAGACAAGUUCUGCUUCUCUUAUUCCACAUUUAACAAAUGGAAGACACCUACCACUCAUCUGCUUCUUGAAGCAUUUUCAAAGACAAAAGACCAAACACUGAGUCCACUUCUAGCGAACCAUUAGAAAACGGUUUGGAUGUUCAGUAUCCCGCUGCUAGCCUUCUACCAGCCACUUGUUAAUAACAGAAGAAAGUCCCUAUCUAUCUAUCUAUCUAUCCUUCUAUCUAUCAAUCUAUCAUCUAUCUAUCUAUCUAUCUAUCUAUCUAUCUCUCCAGGCAAAAUCAAACUGACUGAGACUAAGACCCGUUCGCUUAUUUUAACAGAUGUUUUUCAUUACCUGGCAAGCAAUAUGCGCAUUUCUGGGGCUACAAAUAUGGAUAUGACAUCGAUGUAACCAUAGACAGCUGCGUGGUCAGUGAAGAAGCCAGCUUGUAAACAGAUGGCAAUAGUACAGGGAAGUAAAGGACUCGGGGGGGAAAAAGUGCCCUGGAGGAUGGGUGAACAGUGAAUGACCUUAUCCAGGGAGGUGACACAAGCCAGAGAUAAACCACCGCAGAAGGAGCAGUCACACUGGGAAAGGGCAAACAGGUGGAAGGCAUCAUUUAUGCAGAUACUUGGCCUGUUCAGUGAAGAACAAAAUGAUGAAAAGAAAUGAUAGUGGGAAAUGAAUUAGUUCUAAUAUUGGCAAAGAAUAGUUCUUAGAAUUCUGUCUCAUUAGAGCCAAUUACUUGAGGAUAUUAUAACAAUGUUUAAAUCUUUAGAUUUGCAUCUGGGAUUUCACUUAAAAUACAAUGUUACCUAAAGCUUGAAUAUGACUCUGCUGCUUUCAGCCUGCCCUUGGCUCUCCCUCAAACUUAGAAUAAAAUGCAAAAUAUUUGCAUGACUGGCACCACCCUUAUUUUUUCUCAAUUGCUGUCCUGCUCCCUUGUUGUGCCACCAGUCACUCCAAUUUUCUUGGCUUUCUUUGUUUUUUCUGUAGCCUCUGCUUGGAACACACGUCCUCCAUCUUUGUAUGUCUCAUUCUCUUGUGGCAUCAUUCAAGUUUGGCUCCAAUUUCACCUCCUAGAGAAGUUUUUACUCAUGUUCUCUCCAAGGGCAUCUUCCAUCAUUCUUAUCUCUUUAUAUGGUUUGAAUUGUUUUUGGAGCAUUUAUCACUGUGGGAUUCCACAGCAUGUCGUUUCAUUUUAUGGCUUAACUUCUAAUUUCUUGAGUGCAUCAAAUUAUGCCCCAUUUCCCACAACAAGAUAUGUCUAUCUCCUAAAUCUGUGAGACUUAUAAAUAUGAUCCUAUUGGAAAAGUGGUCUUUGCAAUUAAGAUAAAGAUCUUAGGAUGGAAUCAUUACGGAUUUAGGGUGGGUUCUAAAUCCAGUGACAAGAAAAUACAAGAUAGAGUUCCUCCCUCUCUUACUCAAUGCUAAUCAUGAUGGCACUAACAGUAACAUUUUCACCUUGCAAAAUUUGCUUUGAUUUUUGCUUAUGUAACGCUGUCUUAACAACUGUAUGGAUGCUGAUUAACUAUGAUGCUAUUUUAGAGCUUAGUAAAUCAAAACUCAAAGACCUUAGUGGCGUGGCAUGACAUCAUGGAGCCACUAAGGUGCCUCAAUAAGCAGCAUAGACUAUCUUGGUUGAACUGCUGAGACCUUGUUUGUCUAUGCUUCAAAUAGUGGCAUUAGCCAUAGGGGAAAGCCUCAAUCAAGGCUAUAAAACAUGCAAAUUUUACAAUGGGUAUUUUUAUAUACAUUACCUUAUUCAACCCUCUCACUCUCAACUUUCAGUCAUUUACACAAUGGAAAUUAACACAAAGCUGUAGAAAUUUGGGCUGAAAUUUAAUUUCUGCUAUGGUUGACUUCAAUUGCCCUGAUCUUUCUGGAAUUAGUAACAUUCACACUAUGCAUUCCUGGGUAAUCACAAUAAGCUAUUCCAACUCCUUUGUGCCCCAAAUUGAUGUCUGAGAUGCUAUUUGCUGGAAUUUUCCCAGUGUACCAACUAUACUGCAGUCAACAUUGCUGUCUCAACAAAACUUCCAUAUAUCCCCUUUCAUAUAUUCCUUUUAUCCAGUGCUUGUCCUUGCAACUUUUUUCCCUCCUUCUCUUCAAGAAAGUCAAGUAGUAUGUGAAGUAAUAAAUUCUAAAACACCCUUGGGUGUUUCGGUGGUUUUUCACCAUUCUUCUUUAAUUUAGUAGGAGCUUUAUUUUGCUGGGUUUUACUCCCUCCUCCUGUUUAUUUUCUGAAUCUCCUUCAUAGCUUUGUGAUCCCCAGGAGGUCUGGGAUAGUGCUUCUCAGCAAGGUAAGCUACUGGAAAGAAAGGUCAGCCUUCCAAGAGAGGCCUAGAAAUGGAGGUAUUAAAAAAUUGCUUUGCUAUGACAAGGACAGAUAACACUGUAUUCCCCACAUCCGCCUUAACCUAUACCUUGCUUUAAAAAUUAAAGUAUUUUCAGUCCUGGAGAUUUCAGACUCUGUGAUUGUUGAUUGUAUCAGCUCAAGGUAUGGGCAAAAAGUAUUCCUUACCUAGGGAUUUAUUAUGCCUUGUUAUAACAGGAAAAAAUAGCAAAAUGCUCUUUGCAUUCUGUAUUUAUUCUGUCUUCGGAUGAUUAAUUUUUAGAUGCUUAAAAUGUUCCUGUAAUAUAAACUGGGUAAACAUCAAUCAACUUACCUUUUUUUUAUUUUUUUUUUUGCAAAAUAUCCAUUACCUGUUAUAUCCAGUAGCAUAUUUACUGAUUAAUAAAUGAAUAGUCUCACUACAAAAUCUUCAGUCAAAGAACUUGCCACUAAAUACUAAGUUCAUACCUUUAUUUUAUUUAAAUGUAUGGAAUUUGGAAAACCAAGUAUUAAAUUGAUUUUUCUAAACAGUAUUUAUUUAUAGGACUUUAUUUUAGAAUUUACACAUUUAUCAGCUAUUAAACAAACAAAGCUUUACAAAUACUUUCUUGUACUUUUCUCAGUCUUCUCAAUAACCGGAACGAGUAAGUAGAACUGAAUAGGAUUGUGUAAGCUUUACAUUAGAGGAAAGAGUCGUAAUUGGGAAAAUAAUUUCAGUAUCUUUGUGUUUGAUUCUGUCCGAGGUAAAUAUCUGUUAAAUGGCAUUCUUUCUUCCAAUCCAGCAUUUAUUUACCUUUUCCCAUUUUGCUUUACUAAUCUCUGUUCUUUUAACUGUACUUAGCAAGGAAGAAAAUAAAAAUUCUAACCCAGUGAAAGGAAGGUAAGUCCUUAACAGUAAGGCUGGAUAUUUUAUAUAUGCUGUUUAAUCCCCAUAAAAGUCUGGCGUUCCCUUUCCAAAAGAAAAGAAAUUGAGAAUUCUGAAAGCUUCACAUUUAGCAGGUUUUGGCAGAGUUGCAUCCUUUCCAUUGGAAGGAGAACAAUUAAUUUUUUAUCAGCUGUCAAAGAAGUUUAGUCUUUCUGUAAUGGUUCACAACUCUAAGAUGUAUUGGACUGUUACUUUUCUAUGAACUGUAGCCAGCUUCAAAGAUCAUUCAAUAAUUCAGUAGGGACGGUCCUCAGUAUCACAGUGGCAAGAAGAUAUAAGCUGUCUAUGGGGUUUGUACAGGUAGAAACUACAAUUAUUCAAUAUGAGAAAAUAUGUCAUUGAAAACUAGAAGAACUGAUGAUUUCCAAUUAGAUAUCUGCCAUCAGCUUGAUUAUUUACAAUUUACUGUUACUCUUGAAAACUUAAAAUGUGCUUAUGUUUUGCAAAUAUAAUCACAUCCUUGUAAGAAAACUGUUGGAAUAUGAAGUGAAGUGAAAAUGUACUUUUCAUGUUUGCAUAUGAAUUAAAGAUUUAUAACCUUAAUUUAUAUUUUAUUUUUAUUAUUAUUAUUUGGGAAGAGUUUGAGACAGGGUCUCACUGUACAGUUCAGGUUGGCUUUGAACUCAUUAUGUAGCCCAGGUUAGCCUCAAACUCUCAGGAGUCCUGAUGCCUCAACUUCCCAAAUGCUGGGAUUACAGGCAUGCACUGCCGUACCUGGCCUAAAGCUUAAGCUUUAUCAGCACCAGCUCAUUAUCUAUCUGCUUAUUUCAUUCUCUGCACAUAUAUCUGUAAAAUAUCACUUAUGGCUUGUGUCUGGUUUUUAUUUCUCUUUUCUUUACAUCUUUGAGAAUGCAAUUGUGUUGCAAAAGUAUCAAUAUGCAGUGGUAGCCAUGAGUGACUCUCUAAAACAUUUUAAAUUUUGGUGAUGCAUUUGGGUGUGGAAGGGGGAAAAGAGGGAAUCUUUAAGACCACAUGUGACACUUUGUGGUUCCUGCCUUUAGCCAGUUCAGAAAGAUUGAGAGAUGUACUUUCUUUAAUUAUUUUAAAAAUUUAUAUUUACGGUGUACUUCUGAAAUAUUUCUAUCAAAAAUUCUAAUAGUAGUUUCCCAAGAAUUUUGUUUUAUGCCAAAGUCAGCCUAUCAUGUAAGUAAUAAUAUGCAGUUUUACUUUUACAUUGGAAUUUAUAAGAGGACAAUUCUGGGAUCACGGUUGGAAAUAAAUCUGGCCAGAUGGAUUUUCCUAUAAUUUGAAGACCAUGCAUUAUAAAUGGUGGAAGAACCUCUGAAGUCAUCUAGCUGGUCUCCUAGAUUCAACAGAUGAACAGAAAACACCAUGAGAAAUGCUGCCUAUGUGUUAAAAUUCCAUCCAGAAUCUUGAUGACGUGAAGACCAUUUCCUGUGGGCCUUCUCCCCAGGAAGCCCUGCUCCCCUUUAUUCAAAUUCAAGAUCUGCUUACUACCUAUGCAAGUCACUGGCUUCAGGGGUCCAUUGCCUCAUAAAUAGUAUGAAAGUAAUCAUAAUAUAAAUUGUUUUACUUUUGUGAGAAUGAAAAUGAGUUACUACAUGCCUGGUAAGCAUCGACUAAUUAUGGAUACUUCUGUGCUUGCCAAUAGUACCUAAUAUUGGAAGAAUUGUAUGUUGAAUACCUCGGUUCUUACUGGGAGUGAUUUUGCUUUGAGAGGAUAUUUGGUUAUGUCUAGUGACAUUUUUUUUGUUGUCACAUCUUCAGAUUAGCAGAUUAUUCCUGGAUGGGGUGCUGAUAGAUGUGGUAUCAUGAGCAAGCCUACUAACUACCAAGACUACCAAGACCCAAAUGUACAAAGUACACAUUUAAGGCACCCUGCUUGGGUUGAAAAAAAAUGAUAGUUUGAAUCUAGGGUAUGAAGUAAACCUAACUUUAGAAAUAAAAACAAGGAUACAUAAAUAAUACCUGUGUUGACUACAAGCAAGUGUGGACUCCUAGAAGUUAGAGCCUGUGUAUUAUGUUGCUUCUCUCAUCUUCCUUCCCCAGCUCAUCUCCAGCACUGCUACUGUGAUGUCAGCAAUUUUAAUCGUCCCAUUUCUUUUUAAAGCAAAAGUUUAUAUGAUGUUAUACAUUAGUAUUUUGUAUAUUAAAUGUUUAAUGGAUUACAAAGAAAAUUGCUACUUGAAUUUUCUUUUUUUUAAUUCGUGGUCAGUAGAAUGAGAAAUACCAUGGUCAGGAAUCUUUGUAGUUAACAGUAUGGUUUCAUAAAUAUCAAAAUAGAGAGAAGGCUUUGCUUCCAGCUUUUCCAAGCAUUUAUUUCAGUUAUAUAUUUGAAGUGAUCAGCCCACCUCAGAAUGCUUUUUCUUUUUCUUUUGUGUGGAUGCAAGGAAUAAUUGUGAAUUGAAUAUAAUCCAUAUGUUUGUUAUUUUCAAAAUGAAGCAAACUCAAAAUAUUAGAAACAUUAUAUGUGGGAUAAUUUUGAAGAUUAUACCACUUGUACAAAGCAGUACUCUGCAUAUAUUGCAUUUUGUAGAGUUACAUGAUCCGUUUAAAAUUAUGGAUACCAAGGAGGAUAGAGUGGCUGGUAACUCAACCAGAGAAAUAAUCCUUCCAUUGAUGUUAUAUUUAAUUGAGAGCAAUAUUUUUACAUAGUUAAUUCUUUAAAUACCAAUUUUAACAGAGAACUAUGUGAAAAAGUAAACAACCUUAAAAAGUAUACUACACAUUAAGAAAAGAGUGGUAGGCCUGCAUCUUGUACAUGCAGUCACAGAGCACAUUCCUACUGUUUUGAUCAAUAAUGGCCAGCGUGUUUGAUCCCGCAAGACUAUAAUGAACCUGAAAAAUUCUUGUCACAUUCAAAAUGCAGUAGAAUUGCACAUUAUUCAUGACUUUAUGCUGGCACAAACAAACCUACUUUGCUGCCGGUGGUAUAAAAGUCAAGCACAUAUGAUUAUGUACAGUGUCUAAGACUUCAUAAUUACAAUAGAUGACGUUUGGGGGUAUAUAUGUAUAUACUUAAUCACUUUUUGAAGGUACUGUUUUUGCUUGUUAAAAAAGCUUAAUCUAAAACAAUGCUUUGUAUUAUGCUGUCAGUGGUCUCUUCUAGAGUUUGCUGUUCACACAGUAGAAUAGCCCAAGAGCACAUUCUUCACUUUCUCAUCAUUAUGUAGCAUUCUCAUCAGUGUGUAACAAAAGACUAUAGAUUGAAUCUGUAAGUACAUGGAUAUAAAUGUCUACAUUUUGAUGGCUGUAAUGUUAACCUAAUGUAUCUCAAGAUGUUUCCUUCCUUUGUAUUUUGCAAUAGUCAGCUAUUGUUGCAUCAGUGCUGUGCAAUACAGUGUCCUCAAACUCAGUGGCCUCAAAACAGAAAGAGUUCAUCCUCAGGUUCACCUGAGUGCAGGUGAUUGUGGUUCAGUUGAUCUAGAAUGGGGUUGCAUUCAGUGAUCAGCUGAAUACAGAGUGGUCCCACCUGUUUUGUCCUACUGUUGAAUCUCAGGGAGCAUAAAUAUAAUCAAUCACACAAUGGAGCGCCAGAGUAUGAAAGCCAAACCAAACCUGGCAAAAACACCUAGGGACCCUUUUCCUUUUAUACUCACCAAUAUGCUAUUGGCAAAAGCAUUCAUGGGACACAUUUAGUAUCAAUGAGGUGAGAAAAUAUGGUUUUUUUCUGUGGUGGAGAGGAAGGGGAAUUGCUGUGAAAAUGUGCUACAUAAUAAUUUCAACUUUACACCUUCCCCUCAUUUCAGAUAAAUGUAUUUUUUCCUUCCUGGACUUAGCUCGUCUCUCCAUUUCUGUCUCUAUAGAAUUGAGGCUCAUUAAUAGAGUCGACCCAGACCUGUCAGCCCCAUUUAGCUUGGCAUUCCAUGGACUACAUCUAUGUUUUACCCACACUUGUAAUGGUAUGUUAAUGUAUGUAUGGGUGUGGCUAAUUUUUUUCAGACAAUAAUUUAAUUAUAGACCUAGAAAUCCCACAGCAUAAAUAGUUUAUCAGGGAAGGAAAAUAUAAAAAUGGAUUAAGCCUUCAGAUUUGGUACCAGAGUAUAAUUAUGAGAUAGCAUCCAGUUAGGAGAUGCACUUAUAUUUUAAGAAAAAAGAAUUUGGAUUGUUUCAUGUCUUUUCCUAGUGAGUAUACACAAGCAAAUUAGAGAAGAAAAGCAAUAUACUCGGUCUCUAGGAUCAAGGCAUGUCUAUUUAUACUUUUCCUGUUCUGCACGAUUGCAUCUAUAUUUUUCCUGAUUUAUUUCCUUAGAUUUACAAGGACUGGAGUUCACUGCCCACUGUGAACUUGGCUUUCAUUUGACACACCCUCUACCUUCAAUAUAAAAUCAUAUAACCCCAGUAGAACAGCUGUGUUAUGCAUCGUUCUGUGGGUAGACCCUAAACACCCAUCAAACUUGUAUGAUAAACAUGGGUAAACUGUGAAAAUUAUGCGAUAGAGUGUCUAAGAUUAUGUUAUACAUGAUAAAUGACUGGAAUACAGAGUGUCUGGGUUAAUCUAAUGUAAUCCUGUGGUUCUUUGAAUCUAUUGAACCUUCUGACCCUGGUGGCAGAAUAGACAAGAGAGAUUUGAAGCAGGAAAACUGUUUUCUGGGCUUGAUGGUUUGAUAUUGAAGGAGUCCUUGAAAUAGGGGGUCAGAGCAGUCUCUAGUUGAAGAGAGAAAAGACCACUGUAGAAGUUAUUAAAGAAAGAAGACUUCAGGCUACCAUCACAAGGAACCAGUGCCAACAACCUGAAUGAGCUUAGCAAGUGGAGAAGGUCUCAGAACUUCCAGUUAGGAGCCCAGCUGACCACACUUGGAUGUCAGCUUUGUGAAAGCCUCAGCUGAGAACACCCACCCCAAGUAGGUCUAGACUCCCACCCUACAUAAUGGUGAGGUAAUCAGUAAAUAUUGUUUCAAAUUGAUGAAGUUUUUGUGAUUUAUCAUUCAGCAAUAUAAAAUGAAUAUAUUGUCUUAAAAGGGGUGUUCACGAAUGGAGGGUUGUUUGCACUUCUCACAGGCCAACUCUAGGUGAGCAGAUUCCUCUUUGUGAAGACUGACAUUAUUUCUGACAAAUCCAAUUGCAUAAACUUUGUUAGGUCCCUAGUUUUGAAUGAGUCUUGGAAUUUCCAUAGGCCAUUCAAUGUCACUUUUCUAUGGAAGGUUUAGGUUUUAUAGGAUCCUGAGAUUAUACAGUUUCAGAACUUCUUUUGAGAAAAUAAAUACAUAAUUAAAAUACGGAUAAUUCUAGAUUUCAAUGAUUUGACUUAUGAUUCUUUAACAAGGUCUCUUAGAUUUCAAGAAACAGUUUGAAUGUCUUUGUCAUGAAAAUUCUAUUUUCUAUCCAUAUUCUUUGAGGACUGGGGACUACCUGUGAUGUUUAUAUCACCUUCGGGUCAUCCUUGAGUUGUGAUACCAGGUAAGUUCAUGUAAUGUGUGCUGGUCACAGCUGCAGAGACCAUUCCUACCCUACGACAGACAUCUAUUACUUGACUGUACAUAGCAAGUAAUUACGAAUGUCAUAAACAAACCUAAAUUUUCUCUUAGUUGGAUUCUAGAAAAGCUCACCAUUGCCUUUAAGUCUGAGGGUUGUGCUAUAGAAUAAUUACAAAGCGCCAAUGUUAACUAAUUGUAGCCAAGCUACUUUAUUUUCUAAAUAUAGAAAAUAGUAUGACUGUAAACAUAUCCCUAAAAUAUGUUUGUAGAGAGAUGUUCAACUAUGUGAGGGAGAGACAGAUGUCUGCUAUGUUAGCUAUGUUGUAACCUAAAAAAAACAGCAUCGUGUAGCCUCAAAGAGAAAACUGAAAAGACUUCUUUACUAACCAGAACCUUUGUACACUUUCCACCAAAUAGAUACCAGAGCUUUUUCCCCCAUCAUGUUUUCCUUCAACUGCUCCCUACUGAGGAAGCAACCUCCUCAUACAUCCUCAAGAUUGGAUGAUCCAUAGCCUAUGAGAUUUGAUGUUCAACCGUCUACACUGCUCACAAUUUUAGUGAUGACUCAGUGUUGGAAAUCAUUACUUAAAUGCUGUGUACCUGUAAGGUUGUCUAUUUCUGUUAGUAACUGUCAUACAGCACUGUUUGGCUUUUUAAAAUUAAAUGUAAGGCUUCUUUUCUUAAUUAUUUGACCAUGUGCCUCUUGUGUAACAGGAAGAUAAAUUGUCUUGUGAUGUCAUGUGCCCUCGGUUUUGUACAAAAAUAUAUUUGAGGAGGCCACAUGGUUUAGUAGGAAGAACAUUUAGAUUUUUAAAUCUGAAGACCUACUUAAGUUUAAGGCCCAGUGUCUCUCCUAUAAUAAUGUUUGGAAACUGCAUAAUUCGAUUUUAUUAUGUGUAAAUGGACACAGUAAGUGACAGGGCUCCUGUAGAAGGGUAUGAAAAGGUGUUUGGUACAGAAGCUGAAAUGGAACAGGUCCUCGGUGAGUACAGCUCCAUGUGAACUUGGUUAGCUAGUUGUCUUCCUAUGUUUGUAAAGUCAGAUGCUAAUCUAUAAACAAAGUCACUAAGUAUUCUGGCUAAUUAAAAUUUUCCUUUGUUUAUAAUAUCAAGGAAUUUUUUAUGAAGAACUUGAAAAAAUUCAUGAAUUGCAAAUUGACUUUUGCUUUAUUUUUUUUAUCACUGCUGCCCUCCCAUCCUCCCUCUGUCUGGACUCGCUGUCCUUUCCUGUAACUUGGGAGCAACUCACUCCUAGACACCUUGGUCCUAAGGUUUGGGAGGAGAAGACAUACUUGCUUGUUGGCAUAGAAGCAUUACCCAUAGUGACACGGGAACAAGGCACUUAUAGUUAUGGUUGUGUACAAGUGUGACACUCAUGGUGCUCAGAAACCCCCGGCUGAUCCGAACAGAGACAAAGUGCACAACUGUAAUGGCACUUACAGGGCAGGCAGGGAAAGUUCCGUUGAUUCAUCUCACAUAAUGAUGCAGUUUUAUUUGUACCUGUGAUCUUCUUUAUCAUGGGUUCUGUCUCAUUGCAAUAGUAAGUCUGCCUUAGUGGGUGGUUUUUACUAUGCUAAUGAACUAAAUGUCACUGUAGAUAAGAUUAAUGGCAAUUUUAUACAUAUGUUUGUCCCUUAGUAUCUAAAAUGCAUUCCUUAUCAUCUGGAAAGUUUCCUUUUGGAGUGGGAAGAUUACUCCUUUACAUUAACAGAUUUGAUUUUAAUACCUUGUUUUCUUUGGCUUCUUGGAAUCUCUGCUGACCACACAGUCCUUGUAGGCCGAGCUGACUGCCCAUCCUACCAUCUUCUGGUGUAUUCUCUGAAUUUUAUAGCCUCGAUGACUAAGCUACUUUUAAAAUCCCAGUUCCCUGCAUCAUUCCCGGGGCCCUUGCACUAUCGAUGAGCUGUCACACUGGGAGGUGCUCAGCGGUCUUGCGUUGUUUUGGGUCGUUCCCUGUCAGUGGCUUUGGUUCUGGAAGAUGUGCCCUACAAACAGCCCUUCAGACUGAAAGUCAGAGCCCUUCAUGAAGCAAUGUGGUGCUGAAAAUAGCACAGGCCGCUGUAGUACCAAGUUCACCAUCUUAUACCUUGGUCAUGUUGUUCACUAAAAAUAUCCAUGACAUUCUUAUCAGGACAAUAGACUUUGUGUCACAUGACCUGGUUUUCCAAAUAAAUUCUACCUCUAUGGCUUUGAGCUCAAGAAGUUCUUAAAAUUCACUGUGCCUUGAUUUCCUCGCCUUUAAAGUGAGGCUGAGAGUUUAUACGUAGAACUUUUUGUUAAAAUGAAAUAAAAAUAAAAUGCAUAUAAAAUCCUUUAAAAGAGUAUAAAUGCUAUGUAAAUGUUAAUUAUUUAAACAGCAUUUUACAUAUUCCGCAUUCCAAUGUACUUUGAUGUUACUGAAUAGAGGACUGUAUUUUGCAGAUGACUAAUAAAUUGUAAUCAUUUGAUUUACCUUCAAAUAAAGACUCAGAGCUAUAAGUGUAUUUACUUUUUGGUACUGGGGAUUGAACUCAUGACCUUGUGCUUGCCAGGCAGGCAUUUAUACUGCUGAGCUAAGUCCCCGUCAAGAGCUAUAAAUUUAUACAUUCCUGUUGUAUGCCCAGUAUUACUCUAAGUACUUUUACAUACAUUUAAUCAUCGAAUUAUCACAGAUUCUAUGCAACAAGUCCUAUUUGAUUUUAGAAAAUCAAGUCCUAUUUUGUUUGGAAAAACCGAGACACACAGAUGGUAAAUAAUGUAAUAAAAAUUAUAUAGUUAGUGUGUGCAGAGCAGUGGUUAAGAUUCAGCCAUUUAGACCUAAAGAUCACACUUAACUAUUCCAUACUACUGUUGUCAUCACUGAAAGAGUUUUAGGCGUUUUCUACGUCUCCAGGAAUCAUCUGUUCUGUGCCUGCUGUACAGUACUUGCUUCUGUAGCCUCCCAAUACCAAGCAGCGAAAGCAGUUGCCUUGCUAAAAUUAGUUUUCCUCCCUUGACAUUUCUUAACAUGGUUUGCAGAGAUUGUACCACAUUUCCUGUGUUUUACAUCACUUUUUCCUGCCUAAUAUCCAACUUUUAGUAAAUGGGUUUUACAAGAAUCACCAAGUAGGAGUAAAUGAAAUACCUAGCUAACACAAUACCUGUAAAAAAUGAAGUUCUUUUUAAGAUGCUUUCCUAUUUUGUCUUUACAAUCAGACCACCUAAACCUGCAGAUCAAUUUCAGUAAGUUUGAAAUCAACAUGGUUAGGGGCUGGGUGUUUAGCUCAGCGGCAUAAGCGCCUGCCUUGAAAGCAGGCAGUCGUGAGUUCGAUCCCUGGUACCGAUAAAAAGGAAAAAGACAAAAAAAAAAAAAAAAAGAAAGAAAGAAAUCAACAUGGUUGCUCUCCAGAAAGUCAUUGUUGUUCAUGAUAUUUUCCCAUGGGAAACCAAAUUAGUGCAUGGAUGUAACAGAUGAAAAAGUUUUAAAAUGAGGCAAGACAACUAAUUCACUUAGCAGGCUAGACAAGUUAUUGGUUCUGGAACACAUUUUGGCAUCAUGCUAUUUUGGACUCUUUAAUUCUUCAAUGAUCAGUCAAUCCAUCAAUAAAACAAGAAAUUUGCUUUCAGUUCAAUUAUUUAUAUUGAAAUAAUGGAUUUUGUCAGGAAGCAGUGCAGGAAUAAGUUGCACAAACUUGAGCCAGCCCCUAAGUAUGAAGAAUCAAACACAUACAUUGAAGUCAGAUGAACUUGUGGCUCAAUCCUGGGUUUAGAUCCCUCUCUCAUAUUCUGUUUGGAGAGAUCUCACAGGUUGUUUUCCCUUGCUGGCUUUACUUCAUUGCUAAAGUGACGCUGGAAACAGAAAGGGUAGGAUAAGGGUGACAGUUUUCCUGGUAUCUUUAGGGUCCUCCUGGUUUUAGCACUGAAAAUCCUACAUCCCAGAAACCCUUUGGCCUCUGAAUAGUCAAUGACUGCGGAGGGGAGACCACAUACUAUAUUGAGAUGACCAUGUGAAAGGCCUUGAAACUAAGCUUUGAAAGAGUUGUAAUAGUGAUUUGGUUUGAGUUUAAAUAUGUGCAUGGGAACUUUUGGCUUAAGGUUAGAUUCCGUGUCACCAUUGCCUGAGAUGUAGUUUCUUGUACAAGUGGUUUAUUUUGAGCAUGGUUAGGGGAUCACACAAGGAUAUAAAAGAAGCAAAUAAAACUGGAGGAGCAAGAUGAUAUUUCAGCUCAUUAGUCUCCGUUUGGGUCCUAUGGGAAAUUCUCACGUGUGAAUAGCCCCAUAGAACUGCUCCAUUUUGAGACAAAAGGACUGUCAAUUUGUACCCCCAUAUCAUUCAGCUGCCAUGUCCAGGUCACCUGUGAGGAUAUUUCUAAAGAAAGGAAGUUCUAGAAAGAAGGCACAGGGACCCUGUUCAGAGCCAACCUGCAGAGCAUGUCUGCUCAGUGAAACACUGCCAACAGCUGCUACACUGCUCCAGGUGUUUUAAACAGAAUUCUACUUUUCUCUUUAACUCCUGGGUUUACACUUUGGGUUUCUGAUGUGAGAGAAACCAUGGGAUAUUUAAGUUUGUGUUUCUGACUUAUUUCACUCACAUCACAGUUUUAAGUUGAAUAGAAAACAGAUAGGGAGAUAUCUUUGCUUAUAAAUAGGAAGGGAAAAGAGAGAUUGAAGAGCAGACAGAAGAGAGGAAAA